rnacentral:rRNA from 1 species
CCAGUUUGAUCAUUGCUCAGAUUGAACGCUGGCGGCAGGCCUAACACAUGCAAGUCGAGCGGAUGAUGGGAGCUUGCUCCCGGAUUCAGCGGCGGACGGGUGAGUAAUGCCUAGGAAUCUGCCUGGUAGUGGGGGACAACGUUUCGAAAGGAACGCUAAUACCGCAUACGUCCUACGGGAGAAAGCAGGGGACCUUCGGGCCUUGCGCUAUCAGAUGAGCCUAGGUCGGAUUAGCUAGUUGGUGGGGUAAAGGCCUACCAAGGCGACGAUCCGUAACUGGUCUGAGAGGAUGAUCAGUCACACUGGAACUGAGACACGGUCCAGACUCCUACGGGAGGCAGCAGUGGGGAAUAUUGGACAAUGGGCGAAAGCCUGAUCCAGCCAUGCCGCGUGUGUGAAGAAGGUCUUCGGAUUGUAAAGCACUUUAAGUUGGGAGGAAGGGCAGUAAGUUAAUACCUUGCUGUUUUGACGUUACCAACAGAAUAAGCACCGGCUAACUUCGUGCCAGCAGCCGCGGUAAUACGAA